rnacentral:rRNA from 1 species
AUUGAACGCUGGCGGCAGGCCUAACACAUGCAAGUCGAGCGAGCGGCGGACGGGUGAGUAAUGUAUGGGGACUGCCCGAUAGAGGGGGAUAACUACUGGAAACGGUGGCUAAUACCGCAUACUAUCGGAUAACCCAUAUGGGAUUAGCUAGUAGGUGGGGUAAAGACUCACCUAGGCGACGAUCUCUAGCUGGUCUGAGAGGAUGAUCAGACACAGUGUGACUGAGACACAGCCCAUGCUCCUAAGGAGGCAGCAGUGGGGUAUAUUGCACAAUGGGCGCAAGCCUGAUGCAGCCAUGCCUCGUGUAUGAAGAAGGCCGUCGGGUUGUAAAGUUCUUUCGGUAGCGAGGCGUUAACUACAGAAGAAGCACCGGCUAACUCCGUGCCAGCAGCCGCGGUAAAAC